rnacentral:rRNA from 1 species
AGUCAACAUGCCCAGGGGACGUGGAUAACCUCGGGAAACUGAGGCUAAACCGCGAUAGGCCAAGAUUUCUGGAAUGGAUCAUGGCCUAAAUCUAUAUGGCCCCUGGAUUGGACUGCGGCCGAUCAGGCUGUUGGUGAGGUAAUGGCCCACCAAACCUGUAACCGGUACGGGCUCUGAGAGGAGGAGCCCGGAGAUGGGCACUUAGACAAGGGCCCAGGCCCUAUGGGGCGCAGCAGGCGCGAAACCUCUGCAAUAAGCGAAAGCUUGACAGGGUUACUCUGAGUGAUUUCCGCUAAGGAAGUCUUUUGGCACCUCUAAAAAUGGUGCAGAAUAAGGGGUGGGCAAGUCUGGUGUCAGCCGCCGCGGUAAUACCAGCACCCCGAGUGGCCGGGACGAUUAUUGGGCCUAAAGCAUCCGUAGCCGGUCCUGCAAGUCCUCCGUUAAAUCCACCCGCUCAACGGUUGGGCCGCGGGGGAUACUACAGGGCUAGGAGGCGGGAGAGGCAAGCGGUACUCGAUGGGUAGGGGUAAAAUCCACUGAUCCAUUGAAGACCACCAGUGGCGAAGGCGGCCUGCCAGAACGCGCUCGACGGUGAGGGAUGAAAGCUGGGGGAGCAAACCGGAUUAGAUACCCGGGUAGUCCCAGCUGUAAACGAUGCAGACUCGGUGAUGGGCUGGCUUCGUGCCAACCCGGUGCCGCAGGGAAGCCGUUAAGUCUGCCGCCUGGGGAGUACGGUCGCAAGACUGAAACUUAA